rnacentral:tRNA from 1 species
UGGAGGGUUACUCAAGUGGUUUAAGAGGUCGGUCUUGAAAACCGAUAGGCGGUAACACGUGCGAUGGGUUCGAAUCCCUCACCCUCCGCCAU